rnacentral:rRNA from 1 species
UACAGAGGCCUCGAGCGUUAAUCGGAAUCACUGGGCUUAAAGGGUGCGUAGGCGGUUCGUUAAGUCUGUUGUGAAAUCCCCGGGCUCAACCUGGGAAUGGCAAUGGAUACUGGCGGGCUAGAGUGUGUCAGAGGAUGGUGGAAUUCCCGGUGUAGCGGUGAAAUGCGUAGAGAUCGGGAGGAACAUCAGUGGCGAAGGCGGCCAUCUGGGACAACACUGACGCUGAAGCACGAAAGCGUGGGGAGCAAACAGG